AUGCAAGAACAGGGUGAAUAGAAACUGAAGGCCUUAUUUAAUCAUAGAACAGCUACAGCACAGAUUUCAAAGACUCAAGUUUCCCCAUGUUGGGCUGUCCAUGUGCCUCAUCCCUGAACUGGAAAGACCACCUCUAAGAGUGAGAGUUUAGUUCAAUCUCCGUGUCCAGGCAAUUCUUGGCCCUU
ensembl:misc_RNA